rnacentral:rRNA from 1 species
UCCGGAGGGUGCAAUCGUUAUCCGGAUUCACUGGGUUUAAAGGGUGCGUAGGCGGAUUAGUAAGUCAGUGGUGAAAUCUUCCGGCUCAACCGGGAAACUGCCGUUGAUACUGCUAGUCUUGAGUAUAGUUGAAGUGGGCGGAAUGUGGCGUGUAGCGGUGAAAUGCUUAGAUAUGCCACAGAACACCGAUAGCGAAGGCGGCCUGCUAAACUAUUACUGACGCUGAGGCACGAAAGCGUGGGGAGCAAACAGG